CCAUGUUUUCUGCGGGCCAGAAGGGAACCCGCUUUGAUUCCCACCCCCAGGAGGAAAGGAGGCUGUGUGGGUCAGGCGCGCUCACCCCACCCACUGCAGAGGGCCCUACAAGUGCCUCUCCCGCUGCGGCCCCACAGGCUCUGCGCGUCAGAGGGAGCCCUGUGCUGCAGCCAUGGUAACCCAGUGCCUUCCACUCCUUGCUAGCGUGCUGGUCUUGGCCGCCCCAGGCCUCUCUGUGCCUGCACAAGCCCAGAACACCUCCAAGAAGACCUUCUCCAGCACUUGGACAAAACACUCUGAAGAAAGACAGUUGGCCCAAGGACUGCAGUGAGAUCUCUGCAGGCAGCCCCAGUGGCGUCUACGUCAUCCAGCCCUCAGGGC
rnacentral:lncRNA from 1 species